rnacentral:rRNA from 1 species
CAGUAGCCGCGGUAAUACAGAGGGUGCGAGCGUUAAUCGGAUUUACUGGGCGUAAAGCGUGCGUAGGCGGCUUUUUAAGUCGGAUGUGAAAUCCCUGAGCUUAACUUAGGAAUUGCAUUCGAUACUGGGAAGCUAGAGUAUGGGAGAGGAUGGUAGAAUUCCAGGUGUAGCGGUGAAAUGCGUAGAGAUCUGGAGGAAUACCGAUGGCGAAGGCAGCCAUCUGGCCUAAUACUGACGCUGAGGUACGAAAGCAUGGGGAGCAAACAGGAUUAGAUACCCCAGUAGUCCCUGUCUCUUAUAA